rnacentral:misc_RNA from 1 species
GAAAUGCGAUAAGUAAUGUGAAUUGCAGAAUUCAGUGAAUCAUCGAAUCUUUGAACGCACAUUGCGCCCCCUGGUAUUCCGGGGGGCAUGCCUGUUCGAGCGUCAUUUCACCACUCAAGCCUCGCUUGGUAUUGGGCGACGCGGUCCGCCGCGCGCCUCAAAUCGACCGGCUGGGUCUUUCGUCCCCUCAGCGUUGUGGAAACUAUUCGCUAAAGGGUGCCGCGGGAGGCCACGCCGUAAAACAACCCCAUUUCUAAGGUUGACCUCGGAUCAGGUAGGGAUACCCGCUGAACUUAGGC